rnacentral:rRNA from 1 species
GGAAUCUUGCGCAAUGGGCGAAAGCCUGACGCAGCAACGCCGCGUGCGGGAUGAAGGCCUUCGGGUUGUAAACCGCUUUUACCAGGAAGGAAACUGACAGUACCUGGAGAAUAAGGUGCGGCCAACUACGUGCCAGCAGCCGCGGUGACACGUAGGCACCAAGCGUUGUCCGGAUUUAUUGGGCGUAAAGAGCUCGUAGGCGGUUCAGUAAGUCGGGUGUGAAAACUCUGGGCUCAACCCAGAGACGCCACCCGAUACUGCUGUGACUUGAGUCCGGUAGGGGAGUGGGGAAUUCCUGGUGUAGCGGUGAAAUGCGCAGAUAUCAGGAGGAACACCAAUGGCGAAGGCACCACUCUGGGCCGAGACUGACGCUGAGGAGCGAAAGCGUGGGUAGCAAACAGGAUUAGAUACCCUGGUAGUCCACGCCGUAAACGGUGGGCACUAGAUGUGGGUUCCAACCAACGGAAUCCGUGUCGGCGCUAACGCAUUAAGUGCCCCGCCUGGGGAGUACGGCCGCAAGGUUAAAACUCAAAUGAAUUGACGG